rnacentral:rRNA from 1 species
GGUUAAGUGAAUAAGGGCGCACGGUGGAUGCCUUGGCACUAGGAGCCGAUGAAGGACGGGACUAACACCGAUAUGCUUUGGGGAGCUGUAAGUAAGCUAUGAUCCAGAGAUUUCCGAAUGGGGGAACCCAAUAUCUUUUAUAGGAUAUUACUUUUCAGUGAAUACAUAGCUGAUUAGAGGUAGACGCAGAGAACUGAAACAUCUUAGUACCUGCAGGAAGAGAAAGAAAAUUCGAUUCCCUGAGUAGCGGCGAGCGAAACGGGAAGAGCCCAAACCAACAAGCUUGCUUGUUGGGGUUGUAGGACUCCAAUAUGGUAGUCUGUUAGUAUAGUUGAAGGAUUUGGAAAAUUCCGCUAAAGAGGGUGAAAGCCCCGUAGACGAAAUGCUGACAACACCUAGGAGGAUCCUGAGUACGGCGGAACACGAGAAAUUCCGUCGGAAUCCGCGGGGACCAUCCCGCAAGGCUAAAUACUCCCUAGUGACCGAUAGUGAACCAGUACCGUGAGGGAAAGGUGAAAAGCACCCCGGAAGGGGAGUGAAAUAGAUCCUGAAACCGUGUGCCUACAACAAGUCAAAGCUCGUUAAUGAGUGAUGGCGUGCCUUUUGUAGAAUGAACCGGCGAGUUACGAUUGCAUGCGAGGUUAAGUCGAAGAGACGGAGCCGCAGCGAAAGCGAGUCUGAAUAGGGCGAAUGAGUAUGUAGUCGUAGACCCGAAACCAUGUGAUCUACCCAUGUCCAGGUUGAAGGUGCGGUAAAACGCACUGGAGGACCGAACCCACGUACGUUGAAAAGUGCGGGGAUGAGGUGUGGGUAGCGGAGAAAUUCCAAACGAACUUGGAGAUAGCUGGUUCUCUCCGAAAUAGCUUUAGGGCUAGCCUCGGAAUUGAGAAUGAUGGAGGUAGAGCACUGUUUGGACUAGGGGCCCAUCUCGGGUUACCGAAUUCAGAUAAACUCCGAAUGCCAUUCAUUUAUAUCCGGGAGUCAGACUGCGAGUGAUAAGAUCCGUAGUCGAAAGGGAAACAGCCCAGACCACCAGCUAAGGUCCCAAAAUAUAUGUUAAGUGGAAAAGGAUGUGGGGUUGCACAGACAACUAGGAUGUUGGCUUAGAAGCAGCCACCAUUUAAAGAGUGCGUAAUAGCUCACUAGUCGAGUGACCCUGCGCCGAAAAUGUACCGGGGCUAAACAUAUUACCGAAGCUGUGGACUACACCAUUAGGUGUAGUGGUAGGAGAGCGUUCUAAGGGCGUUGAAGGUCGAUCGUGAGGACGGCUGGAGCGCUUAGAAGUGAGAAUGCCGGUAUGAGUAGCGAAAGACAGGUGAGAAUCCUGUCCACCGUAUGACUAAGGUUUCCUGGGGAAGGCUCGUCCGCCCA